CGAGCGAGUCUGCCUUGAAGAUCGGAGUGCUUGCACUCUGUGAAGCAAGAUACAGGCUAGCGGCGGACGGGUGAGUAACACGUGGGUAACCUGCCCAAGAGAUCGGGAUAACACCUGGAAACAGAUGCUAAUACCGGAUAACAACAGAUGAUGCCUAUCAACUGUUUAAAAGAUGGUUCUGCUAUCACUCUUGGAUGGACCUGCGGUGCAUUAGCUAGUUGGUAGGGUAACGGCCUACCAAGGCGAUGAUGCGUAGCCGAGUUGAGAGACUGAUCGGCCACAUUGGGACUGAGACACGGCCCAAACUCCUACGGGAGGCAGCAGUAGGGAAUCUUCCACAAUGGACGCAAGUCUGAUGGAGCAACGCCGCGUGAGUGAAGAAGGGUUUCGGCUCGUAAAGCUCUGUUGUUGGUGAAGAAGGACAGGGGUAGUAACUGACCUUUGUUUGACGGUAAUCAAUUAGAAAGUCACGGCUAACUACGUGCCAGCAGCCGCGGUAAUACGUAGGUGGCAAGCGUUGUCCGGAUUUAUUGGGCGUAAAGCGAGUGCAGGCGGCUCGAUAAGUCUGAUGUGAAAGCCUUCGGCUCAACCGGAGAAUUGCAUCAGAAACUGUCGAGCUUGAGUACAGAAGAGGAGAGUGGAACUCCAUGUGUAGCGGUGAAAUGCGUAGAUAUAUGGAAGAACACCGGUGGCGAAGGCGGCUCUCUGGUCUGUUACUGACGCUGAGGCUCGAAAGCAUGGGUAGCGAACAGGAUUAGAUACCCUGGUAGUCCAUGCCGUANACGAUGAGUGCUAAGUGUUGGGAGGUUUCCGCCUCUCAGUGCUGCAGCUAACGCAUUAAGCACUCCG
rnacentral:rRNA from 1 species